UACGUAGGCGGAAAAUUAAGUCAGUAGUGAAAUCCCGCAGCUUAACUGUGGAACUGUUAUUGAUACUGGUUUUCUUGAAUAUAGUUGAGGUAGGCGGAAUGUGUAAUGUAGCGGUGAAAUGCUUAGAUAUUACACAGAACACCGAUUGCGAAGGCAGCUUACUAAGCUAUGAUUGACGCUGAGGUACGAAAGCGUGGGGAGCGAACAGGAUUAGAUACCCUGGUAGUCCC
rnacentral:rRNA from 1 species